UCCCGUCUUGAAGGUUGGCACAUCGCCUCCUUCACCUCCCUGUUGGACUUCGGCCGAGCCUUGAGCUCGGCCUUUUUU
rnacentral:ncRNA from 1 species